GGAAGCAAGGGUGAACUGACUGUCAUUAACUCUUGCUCACCAUGAUAACUCAGCUUACCUGUCUGGGUAGGUCGUCCUUCUUCAUUGCAACUCCAUAUGCACCUCUCCCAAAGGGGAAGAGAGUGACCUUCCCCAGUAAAGAGGGUGUAUAUGUGAGUAGCUGCACUCUCCUGUUAGAACGUCUAGACAAGCUUUCAGGGUCCGUUGUAGGAGAAUGUCGGGUAGUCAAACUUCUAAAUCUCUAGACCCAACCAAAUGAGGUGCUUCACGUGGUAAUGGUCAGCUUUGUUUU
rnacentral:snRNA from 1 species